rnacentral:rRNA from 1 species
GAUGAACGCUAGCGGCAGGCCUAAUACAUGCAAGUCGAACGGUAAGGCCCUUUCGGGGGUACACGAGUGGCGGACGGGUGCGUAACGCGUAUGCAACAUGCCUUCCAGCGGGGGAUAUACCAGGGAAACUUGGCGCAAUACCCCAUAGAAUUACGGGACCGCAUGGUCUUGUGAUUAAAACUCCGGUGCUGGGAGAUUGGCAUGCGUGACAUUAGCUAGUUGGCGGGGUAACGGCCCACCAAGGCGACGAUGUCUAGCUGGUCUGAGAGGAUGAUCAGCCACACUGGGACUGAGACACGGCCCAGACUCCUACGGGAGGCAGCAGUAGGGAAUAUUGGAC